AGCUAAAUAGUUUAAAUAAAACAUUAAUUUUGUAAAUUAAUAUUAAAGUCUUUUUUUUAGCUA
rnacentral:tRNA from 1 species